rnacentral:rRNA from 1 species
UAACUGAAGAGUUUGAUCAUGGCUCAGAUUGAACGCUGGCGGCAGGCUUAACACAUGCAAGUCGAGCGGUAACAGGGGAGCUUGCUCCUGCUGACGAGCGGCGGACGGGUGAGUAACGCGUAGGAAUCUGCCUAGUAGAGGGGGACAACAUGUGGAAACGCAUGCUAAUACCGCAUACGCCCUACGGGGGAAAGGAGGGGAUC